GGAAUGUGUAGAUAUCGGGAAGAACACCAAUGGCGAAGGCAGGUCUCUGGGCCGUUACUGACGCUGAGGAGCGAAAGCGUGGGGAGCGAACAGGAUUAGAUACCCUGGUAGUCCACGCCGUAAACGGUGGAUGCUGGAUGUGGGGCCCGUUCCACGGGUUCCGUGUCGGAGCUAACGCGUUAAGCAUCCCGCCUGGGGAGUACGGCCGCAAGGCUAAAACUCAAAGAAAUUGACGGGGGCCCGCACAAGCGGCGGAGCAUGCGGAUUAAUUCGAUGCAACGCGAAGAACCUUACCUGGGCUUGACAUGUUCCCGACGAUCCCAGAGAUGGGGUUUCCCUUCGGGGCGGGUUCACAGGUGGUGCAUGGUCGUCGUCAGCUCGUGUCGUGAGAUGUUGGGUUAAGUCCCGCAACGAGCGCAACCCUCGCCCCGUGUUGCCAGCGGAUUAUGCCGGGAACUCACGGGGGACCGCCGGGGUUAACUCGGAGGAAGGUGGGGAUGACGUCAGAUCAUCAUGCCCCUUACGUCCAGGGCUUCACGCAUGCUACAAUGGCCGGUACAACGGGAUGCGACAGUGCGAGCUGGAGCGGAUCCCUGAAAACCGGUCUCAGUUCGGAUCGCAGUCUGCAACUCGACUGCGUGAAGGCGGAGUCGCUAGUAAUCGCGAAUCAGCAACGUCGCGGUGAAUGCGUUCCCGGGCCUUGUACACACCGCCCGUCAAGUCAUGAAAGUGGGCAGCACCCGAAGCCGGUGGCCUAACCCCUUGCGGGAGGGAGCCGUCUAAGGUGAGGCUCGUGAUUGGGACUAAGUCGUAACAAGGUAGCCGUACCGGAAGGUGCGGCUG
rnacentral:rRNA from 1 species